rnacentral:tRNA from 1 species
GAGGGGAUAGCUCAGUGGUAGAGCGCAUGCUUAGCAUGCAUGAGGUGCUGGGUUCGAUCCCCAGUACCUCCA